rnacentral:tRNA from 1 species
GGUUUGUAGCUCAGUGGUAGAGCGCUCGCCUAGCAUGUGUUAGGCCUUGGGUUCGAUCCUCAGCACCA